GGCCUGUUCUCUGCCUCCCAUGAUCUUCACCUGCCAAGCCUGGAGGCCAGGAGGAGCUAGAGAAGACCCAGGAUGACGCAGGCAAAAGACAAACUCAGAUGCAUGGAUAUCUGGCCUUCAUCACAAAUCAGGCCUCCUCCCCUGCUGAUGGCUUGCAGGGGUGGAGCUGCCGCCAGGCAGGUGAGAACAGCUCUAAGCAUGGCACUGUCCUUACAUGCCCUGGAAGGGCCAGGCCUUCCAGGCAGUGGAGCCCCUAAACUGGUAGCACAGACUCCUCUACCCAAGAUUUACUCACAGCCCUACUCCUCAAGGGUGAGAGUCUCCCACGCUGGAGGUG
rnacentral:lncRNA from 1 species